rnacentral:tRNA from 1 species
UCUCCCCAAGCCAGGGUUCUGAAUUAAACUAUUCUUUGU